GGUGUUGACGUAUCUUAGUGGUUAGAGCAUCCUCCUCGGAUGCGGGAGGUCGUGGGUUCGCUUCCCAGAUGAGUGAUACCA